rnacentral:snRNA from 1 species
GGAUGUGAAGGUGAUCUGGCUGUGACAUCUGCCAUCCCAUUGAUCACCUGACUGAUGUGGCUGAUCUGGCUAGCUAAGCAGGUGCACCCCACCACCACCACCACUACUGCUCUAUGUGUGUCCUUCCCAAAACUGGGAAGAGGAUGAU